UAAAGAUGUGCGGUUUAACUGC
rnacentral:siRNA from 1 species